UGGGGAAUAUUGGACAAUGGGCGAAAGCCUGAUCCAGCCAUGCCGCGUGGGUGAAGAAGGCCCUAGGGUUGUAAACCCCUUUCAGCGGGGAAGAUAAUGACGGUACCCGCAGAAGAAGUCCCGGCUAACUCCGUGCCAGCAGCCGCGGUAAUACGGAGGGGACUAGCGUUGUUCGGAAUUACUGGGCGUAAAGCGCACGUAGGCGGAUUUGUAAGUCAGGGGUGAAAUCCCGGGGCUCAACCUCGGAACUGCCUUUGAUACUGCAAAUCUCGAGUCCGGAAGAGGUGAGUGGAAUUCCUAGUGUAGAGGUGAAAUUCGUAGAUAUUAGGAAGAACACCAGUGGCGAAGGCGGCUCACUGGUCCGGUACUGACGCUGAGGUGCGAAAGCGUGGGGAGCAAACAGG
rnacentral:rRNA from 1 species